rnacentral:rRNA from 1 species
GUAAUGGCAGGUCAGCAUACUGCCGUGAAUACGUUCCCGGGGCCUUGUACACACCGCCCGUCACACCAUGAGAGUUGGGAAUACCCGAAGCCUGUGAGCUAACAUUUAUGAGGCAGCAGUCGAAGGUAGAAUCAAUGAUUGGGGUGAAGUCGUAACAAGGUAUC